rnacentral:rRNA from 1 species
UGGGGGAUAUUGCACAAUGGGCGAAAGCCUGAUGCAGCGACGCCGCGUGGGGGAUGAAGGCCUUCGGGUUGUAAACUUCUUUUGCUCUGAACAAGGCAUGCUAAUGGGUGUGUUGAGUGUAGGGGUUGAUUAGCGCCGGCUAACUACGUGCCAGCAGCCGCGGUAAUACGUAGGGCGCGAGCGUUGUCCGGAAUUAUUGGGCGUAAAGGGCUUGUAGGUGGCUGGUUGCGUCUGUCGUGAAAGCUCAUGGCUUAACUGUGGGUUUGCGGUGGGUACGGGCUGGCUUGAGUGCAGUAGGGGAGGCUGGAAUUCCUGAUGUAGCGGUGGAAUGCGCAGAUAUCAGGAGGAAUACCGGUGGCGAAGGCGGGUCUCUGGGCUGUUACUGACACUGAGGAGCGAAAGCAUGGGGAGCGAACAGG